rnacentral:rRNA from 1 species
AUUGAACGCUAGCGGGAUGCCUUACACAUGCAAGUCGAACGGAGUGGCGAACGGGUGAGUAAUGUAUCGGAACGUGCCCAGUAGCGGGGGAUAACUACGCGAAAGCGUAGCUAAUACCGCAUACUAUUUGAGCGGCCGAUAUCGGAUUAGCUAGUUGGUGGUGUAACGGCUCACCAAGGCGACGAUCCGUAGCUGGUUUGAGAGGACGGACAGCCACACUGUGACUGAUACAGUGCCCAGACUCCUACUGGUGGCAGCAGUGGGGCAUUUUGUACAAUUGGGGAAACCCGUAUCCAGCCAUCCCGCGUGUGCGAUGAAGGCCUUCGGUUUGUAAAGCACUUUUGUUAGGAAAGCGUUACCUGCAGAAUAAGCACCGGCUAACUACGUGCCAGCAGCCGCGGUAAUAC